UGGAUGAAUCACAGAGGUUGUCCAGAUUCCUCUGCAGGAAGUCCUGGAUGACGGAGGCGCGCAGCAGCGUUUUUUUUCUUUUUCCAUCACAUCUGCCAGCCUGGUUCUGCUCGGUCAGACUCGCCGCGGCAGGAAUUUACAUUUCACCUGACUGUCACCUGCUCGAAAGUGUCUCUUAAACCAAUGACCUCAGUGUCUCAUCACACUAAGAUCCCCUUCCUGCCUCGUGUGUUUCCCACCCUGAUGACCGUCUGCUCCUCCCUGAUGUGUUUCACCUGUGUGUGAUCAUCCUCCAUCUUCCUCUCGUGGUCUUUGUUUUCUCUGCUGGUUCGUCUUCGACCUUAGCUGCGAGUCGUGCGCUAAUUCAGCUACACACACGUUUCAUUUCCUUCUUCACAAUAAAAGCCUCCUGUUAUUUAGCCAUUUAAAAGAUUUUACUUAUGAAUCAGCGCGACGCGUCUCCUGAAACAGCUGAAGGCGAACACGUCGAAACAGUAUGAAACUAAAGAGAUUCAGUUCGAAGCUACGCGAGUACUGAGAGCUGACCACACUGACUUCUAUAAAGGUUUCCUACACAGACAUGAGUUGAGUAUUGAUUUUUUUAGGGAGAGACGGUGCUUGUUAGUCCGGUGCAGGUCCGUCGGGGGGGCGCGGCUCGGCUCAACGCUCCGGAGUAAAACUGGUGCAGCUCGGUUUAACUCGCCGCAGCCAAAAGUGCCGGGAGAGAAACACCACAGGACGAGCAGGCAGGAAAUCCAAUUGUACUGCCGCCCACUGUUUCCCUCCCAGGUUCCCCUGGCGGAGGAGCUGGUGUCCAUAGCAGGCCGCCAGAACCGCCUUUCUGAGGAGGUCCAGUCUCAGCACUCCUGCAUGAUAAAACAACUAAAACAUAAUGUGGACACGAGCACCUUACACCUGCAUUUUAAAGAAAAGUCCUGCUGAAUAAUUGAGCCUCUGCUGCUCCAAAUGUUCCGGCACAUGAAUUAUUUGUGCAUCAAGAUGUUUGUGUUGGCAUCAAAAAUCCAUUUCUCCAC